GACAGAGGUGCCGAGCGUUAGGCGGAAUCACUGGGCUUAAAGCGUGUGUAGGCGGAUCGUUAAGUGCCUUGUGAAAUCCCACGGCUUAACCGUGGAACUGCUUGGCAUACUGGCGGUCUUGAGCCACUUAGGGGCUACCGGAACAAAUGGUGGAGCGGUGAAAUGCGUAGAUAUCAUUUGGAACGCCAAUGGUGAAAACAGGUAGCUGGGAGUGUGCUGACGCUGAGACCCGAAAGCCAGGGGAGCGAACGGG
rnacentral:rRNA from 1 species